CGGGAAAAAAUCUGAUCCCAUUAUCAUGAUUUACGAAUCAUGAAAAUUAUAAAUUGCUCUUGGGACGAAAUCAUGAUUCAGACUCAUGAUUUUUGAAGCUGAGCUACCACUAUCAUGAUUCAGAGCAACCAUUUUCAUGAGCUCCAAAUCAUGACCAUGAAAAGCGUUACGCACACGGUGCACCUGUCAAAACGUGUUUAGCAAAGCUUGUGCAAAGCAUAGUUGGCUGCGCAUUCACGGAAAAGUUGCCCUUUUUUAAAAAAGUUCACUUUUAUUGCCGGUUUCCUGCGCCGCUGUUGCUCUACUGUCGUUCCUGCUCUACUAUUCCGUUCCUGCUCCGUUGAUAUCGAGCUAUUCCGGCUCUGCAGAACUACCGCCGUUUCAUUCUGUUCCUUUCCUGCCGUGGCUGUUGCCCGUUCCGGCUCCUGUGUACCCGUUCCGGCUCCGCAUUGAGGGAAAAUUCUUCCGGCUCCACUCUACUAACUACCGCCGUUUUAUUGUCCCAGUGCCACUGUCGCCAUUCCCGCCGCGGCUGUUGCCGUCCAAUAGGUGCAUCCGUUCCGGCUCCGCAUUGAGUGACCAGCUCCGCCCUACCAACUACCGCUCCCGAUUUUGUUGCCGUUCCGGACGUUUCGUUUUCAGCCUUGGCUGGUUCCGCCCAGUAGGUGUUCCCGUUCCGACUUCCCCCACAACUACCGAACGCAGGUGAUAUAGAAGGGAGGAUCGAGCGGCGACUGAACCAUUAGACUGGAGAAAACUAAAGUUGUGUUAUUCCAUGGGGCACCCCUCAGGAUUAUUCCUCUGGGUUAGAGGAAGACUUCCUGGAAAUUUCAGCUUAGUUGGUCGUUCCAUGAGCUGGCGCAUUUGACUUGGAGUUAAUAUGGAAUUUUAAGCUCAAACAUAUGGGAAACAGCACAUCAUCGCCUGUCUGGGUUAGGAAAAUUGUUGAGCGCGUUCAAUUGAACUCAGAAUGUCAAAAACACUACUUGAUACUAGA